AUUGAACGCUAGCGGGAUGCCUUACACAUGCAAGUCGAACGGAGUGGCGAACGGGUGAGUAAUGUAUCGGAACGUUCCCAGUAGCGGGGGAUAACUACGAGAAAGCGUAGCUAAUACCGCAUACUAUUGGAGCGGCCGAUAUCGGCUUAGAUAGUUGGUGGGGUAAGGUCUAACCAAGGCGACGAUCCGUAGCUGGUUUGAGAGGACGACCAGCCACACUGGGAUGUGGACACGGCCCAUACUCCUACGGGAGGCAGCAGUGGGGAAUUUUGGACAAUGGGGGAAACCCUGAUCCAGCCAUCCCGCGUGUGCGAUGAAGGCCUGCGGGUUGUAAAGCACUUUUGGCAGGAAAGCGGUACCUGCAGAAUAAGCACCGGCUAACUACGUGCCAGCAGCCGCGGUAAUAC
rnacentral:rRNA from 1 species